rnacentral:rRNA from 1 species
CAGUAGCCGCGGUAAUACGUAGGUGGCGAGCGUUGUCCGGAAUUAUUGGGCGUAAAGGGAGCGCAGGCGGACAUAUAAGUCCAUCUUAAAAGUGCGGGGCUCAACCCCGUGAGGGGAUGGAAACUGUAUGCCUUGAGUGUAGGAGAGGAAAGCGGAAUUCCCAGUGUAGCGGUGAAAUGCGUAGAUAUUGGGAGGAACACCAGUGGCGAAGGCGGCUUUCUGGACUGCAACUGACGCUGAGGCUCGAAAGCCAGGGGAGCGAACGGGAUUAGAUACCCGCGUAGUCCCUGUCUCUUAUACA